CCUACGGGUGGCAGCAGUGGGGAAUAUUGCGCAAUGGGCGAAAGCCUGACGCCGCGACGCCGCGUGAGGGAUGAAGGUCUUCGGAUCGUAAACCUCUGUCAGCAGGGAAGAACGGUCACUGUGCUAAUCAUCAGUGAAUUGACGGUACCUGCAAAGGAAGCACCGGCUAACUCCGUGCCAGCAGCCGCGGUAAUACGGAGGGUGCGAGCGUUACUCGGAAUUACUGGGCGUAAAGCGCUCGUAGGCGGUAUGUCAAGUCAAGGGGGAAAUCCCCGCGCUCAACGUGGGAACUGACUUUGAAACUGGCAAACUGGAGUGUGUGAGAGGAUAGUGGAAUUCCAGGUGUAGGAGUGAAAUCCGUAGAUAUCUGGAGGAACAUCAGUGGCGAAGGCGACUAUCUGGCACAUAACUGACGCUGAGGAGCGAAAGCGUGGGUAGCAAACAGGAUUAGAUACCCGUGUAGUC
rnacentral:rRNA from 1 species